UACAGGGGUCUCGAGCGUUGUUCGGAUUCAUUGGGCGUAAAGGGUGCGUAGGCGGCGGGGUAAGUCUGAUGUGAAAUCCCGGGGCUCAACCCCGGAACUGCAUUGGAUACUGCUCUGCUUGAGUACUGGAGAGGAGACUGGAAUUUACGGUGUAGCAGUGAAAUGCGUAGAUAUCGUAAGGAAGACCAGUGGCGAAGGCGAGUCUCUGGACAGUUACUGACGCUGAGGCACGAAGGCUAGGGGAGCAAACGGG
rnacentral:rRNA from 1 species